AGUGAACGCUGGCGGUAGGCCUAACACAUGCAAGUCGAACGGCAGCACAGUAAGAGCUUGCUCUUACGGGUGGCGAGUGGCGGACGGGUGAGGAAUACAUCGGAAUCUACUUUUUCGUGGGGGAUAACGUAGGGAAACUUACGCUAAUACCGCAUACGACCUACGGGUGAAAGCAGGGGAUCUUCGGACCUUGCGCGAUUGAAUGAGCCGAUGUCGGAUUAGCUAGUUGGCGGGGUAAGGGCCCACCAAGGCGACGAUCCGUAGCUGGUCUGAGAGGAUGAUCAGCCACACUGGAACUGAGACACGGUCCAGACUCCUACGGGAGGCAGCAGUGGGGAAUACUGGACAAUGGGCGCAAGCCUGAUCCAGCCAUACCGCGUGGGUGAAGAAGGCCUUCGGGUUGUAAAGCCCUUUUGUUGGGAAAGAAAAGCAGCAGGUUAAUACCCCGCUGUUCUGACGGUACCCAAAGAAUAAGCACCGGCUAACUUCGUG
rnacentral:rRNA from 1 species